rnacentral:tRNA from 1 species
GCCGAGGUGGUGGAAUUGGUAGACACGCAGCGUUCAGGACGCUGUUACCGCAAGGUAGUAGGAGUUCAAGUCUCCUCCUCGGCA